rnacentral:misc_RNA from 1 species
AACGCAUCUUGCGCUCCUUGGUAUUCCGAGGAGCAUGCCUGUUUGAGUGUCAGUAAAUUCUCAAUCCCUCUAACUUUUGUUGGUGGGAUUGGAUAUGGAAGUGUUGCUGGUCUUUAUUGAUCAGCUCUUCUAAAAUGCAUUAGCGGAACCGUUUGCAAUCCGUCACAGGUGUGAUAAUUAUCUACACCAAAGGGGGUUGCUCUCUGUCUGUUCAGCUGCCAAUUGUCUAUGAAGGACAACCAUUAUUGAACAUUUGACCUCAAAUCAGGUAGGACUACCCGCUGAACUUAA